ACUCCUACGGGAGGCAGCAGUGGGGAAUAUUGCACAAUGGGGAACCCGAUGAUGCAGCCAUGCCGCGUGUGUGAAGAAGGCCUUCGGGUUGUAAAGCACUUUCAGUAGGGAGGAAGGUAGUGUAGUUAACACCUGCACUAUUUGACGUUACCUACAGAAGAAGCACCGGCUAACUCCGUGCCAGCAGCCGCGGUAAUACGGAGGGUGCGAGCGUUAAUCGGAAUUACUGGGCGUAAAGCGCAUGCAGGCGGCCUGUUAAGUCAGAUGUGAAAGCCCGGGGCUUAACCUCGGAAUUGCAUUUGAAACUGGCAGGCUAGAGUCUUGUAGAGGGGGUGAGAAUUUCAGGUGUAGCGGUGAAAUGCGUAGAGAUCUGAAGGAAUACCAGUGGCGAAGGCGGCCCCCUCGGAGCAGAUC
rnacentral:rRNA from 1 species